rnacentral:rRNA from 1 species
AUGUACAUUCCUACAACAUAGCGUUAAUGCAUUGAAUCCCAUUAGAACUCCACAGUUAAGUGCCUCGGGAUAGAGUAAUACUGUCAUGGGUGACUGCCAGGGAAGUCUUAGUGUUUUGCAUG